rnacentral:tRNA from 1 species
CGGGUAGUGGCGCAGUUUGGUAGCGCGCCCGGUUCGGGACCGGGAGGCUCGCAGGUUCGAAUCCUGUCUACCCGAC